UCAUCCCACUUGAUUCUCUAUAGCGGCCCCAUUCUGUUACAUAUUCGACUCACCCGAACAAUUGUACUUUACGUUUCGCGCCUUUUAUAUUCGUUAUUGCCAUCGUUUAACCACCAUCAACACACAUCCACAGGGUAUUGUCAGUUUGUGUCUCCUAUUUGAAAAGUUACUUCAAACUCAUGAGCCGCAAUUAUGGUCACAUUUUCGAGAACUUCAAAUACAACCGAUCCGAAUCGUAUUCAAAUGGCUUAUAAGAGCGUUCAGUGGCCAUCUUUCACCCAAUGAGCUUCUCAUUUUGUAUGAUUUGAUUCUUGGCUACGAUAGCUUGGAAAUAAUACCCUUUUUUGCCAUUAUCAUUCUGAGUUUUCGCAAAGAAAGUUUGAUGCAAGUCAAUACAAUUGAAAAUAUUGAAGCGGUACUGGCCGAUUUAUCUUCCAUCAAAGUAUUGCCUCUUAUUCAGCUCACUCUGUCAUUGAAGUAAAUAUCGAACUGAAUGAUGUUGACUGAUUGGCGACACAUUUGCAACCAUACGCCAUUAUUCCAUAGAUUGUAUGUAAAAAGAUGAAAAACGACCAUAAUA